rnacentral:rRNA from 1 species
GUAAUCGUAGGUCAGCAUACUACGGUGAAUACGUUCCCGGGCCUUGUACACACCGCCCGUCAAACCAUGAGAGUUGGCAACACCCGAAGUCGGUAGUCUAACCGCAAGGAGGACGCCGCCGAAGGUGGGGUUGAUGAUUAGGGUCAAGUCGUAACAAGGUAAC